UACGUAGGGGGCUAGCGUUGUCCGGAAUCAUUGGGCGUAAAGAGCGUGUAGGCGGCCCGGUAAGUCCGCUGUGAAAGUCGGGGGGCUCAACCCUCGAAUGCCGGUGGAUACUGUCGGGCUAGAGUGCGGAAGAGGCGAGUGGAAUUCCUGGUGUAGUGGCGAAAUGCGUAGAGAUCGGGAGGAACACCCGUGGCGAAGGCGGCCAACUGGGCCGGACCUGACGCUGAGGCGCGAAGGCGUGGGGAGCGAACGGG
rnacentral:rRNA from 1 species